AUGUUUCAAGGGUGCGGCCUGUUCGCGUGCGUGAGCCGGCGCGGCGCCGACGUCAGGAAGCGGGGCGAGGCGGGCGCGGCCAGCUCGCGGGUCGCGGCGGAGCCGGCGGUGUGGGAGGAGGAGGAGGAGGCCGGCGGCGCCGCCAGGCGGAUGGCGUGGGCGGAGGUGGAGUCCGCCACGGGGGCCUUCUCGUCCCGCGUCAUCGGCCACGGCGGCUUCAGCACCGUCUACCUCGCCUCGCUCUCCUCCGCCCGCCUCGCCGCCGUCAAGGUGCACUGCAGCAGCGAGCGCCUCCACCGCGCCUUCCGCCAGGAGCUCGACGUGCUGCUCUCCCUCCGCCACCCGCACAUCGUCCGCCUGCUCGGCUACUGCGACGAGCGCGACGAGGGCGUGCUGGUCUUCGAGUACGCGCCCAACGGCGACCUCCACCAGCGGCUCCACGGCGGCGAGGAAGACGCGGUGCCCCUGCCGUGGUCGCGCCGCGUGGCGAUUGCGUUCCAGGUGGCCACGGCGCUGGAGUACCUCCACGAGGGCCGCAGCCAGGCGGUCGUCCACGGGGACAUCAAGGCGUCCAACGUCCUCCUCGACGGUAACAUGGACGCCAAGCUCUGCGACUUCGGCUUCGCGCACUCCGGCGUCUCGGCCACGGCGGGCCGCGGCAGGUCGUCUGGGCGCGCCAUCAUGGGCUCCCCGGGUUACGUCGACCCCCAGCUCCUCCGCACCGGCGUGGCCAACGAGCAGAGCGACGUGUACAGCUUCGGCGUGCUGCUGCUCGAGCUGGUGACCGGGAGGGAGGCCGUGUGCCGCGAGACCGGACGCCGUCUUACCGCGGUGGUGUGCCCCACGGUCAGCGACGGGAACGUGGCCGAUGUGGUGGACCGGAGUCUCACCGGCAAGUACAGCGCCGACGAGGCGGCCGUCGUCGCGGAGCUCGCGAUGCGGUGCGUCAGCGACGCCCCCGGGCUCAGGCCGUCCAUGGCGGACGUGGUGCACGUGCUCCAGGAGAAGACCACCGCGUUGAUCUCGGCCGUCGGAUCCAGAUUGGACCGCAGGAUGAUGUUCUAG
rnacentral:rRNA from 1 species